GUGGGUCUUCGGCAUCAUCGUCUCACGGUGUGGGUCGUCGUCUUCCUCUUCACAGUACUCUACCGUGUUGGUCUUCGUCUUCUUCAUCUUCACCGUGUGCAUGUGAGCAUGGAAAAAGGGAAGGAAAACCCAUCUCUGUCAACACCAUGUAGCUCAAAUCCCUCUACUGCGGAAAUCCCAACAACUGCUCCAAACUUUCCAAAUUACAUGCACGGUUACGGACCAGGGCCUGCAUGGUCACCGGCUUUUAUCACAUAUCCAAAUGCAUACCAAUGUCCAAGCAACAUU